CUUACACAUGCAAGUCGAACGGUAACAGGUCUUCGGAUGCUGACGAGUGGCGAACGGGUGAGUAAUACAUCGGAACGUGCCUAGUAGUGGGGGAUAACUACUCGAAAGAGUGGCUAAUACCGCAUGAGAUCUACGGAUGAAAGCAGGGGAUCGCAAGACCUUGUGCUACUANAGCGGCCGAUGGCAGAUUAGGUAGUUGGUGGGAUAAAAGCUUACCAAGCCGACGAUCUGUAGCUGGUCUGAGAGGACGAUCAGCCACACUGGGACUGAGACACGGCCCAGACUCCUACGGGAGGCAGCAGUGGGGAAUUUUGGACAAUGGGCGCAAGCCUGAUCCAGCAAUGCCGCGUGCAGGAUGAAGGCCUUCGGGUUGUAAACUGCUUUUGUACGGAACGAAAAGCCCUGGGUUAAUACCCUGGGGUCAUGACGGUACCGUAAGAAUAAGCACCGGCUAACUACGUGCCAGCAGCCNNGGUAAUAAAAA
rnacentral:rRNA from 1 species